AUUUUUGGAUAAUCGCGUGAUAGCUUGCUAUCAUGAGGAAAGUCCAUGCUAGCACUGGCUGUGAUGCCAGUAGUGUUUGUGCUAGGCGAACAAAUAAGCCUAGGGACUUGUCUUAAACGAGUUACGGCGGAUAAAAUGGCUAAGUCUUUGGAUAGGCCAGAGUCAUCCUGAAAGUGCCACAGUGACGUAGUUUCCAUGGAAACGUGGGAAAUGGAACGCGGUAAACCCCUCAAGCUAGCAACCCAAACUUUGGUCGGGGCACGAAAUAGCUGGAAGACGAACAGACUAUUUUGAUUGCAAGGCUUCCUUGCAAUAGACAGAUGAUUAUCAAGGGAGAUGAGGCCUAGUCAUCUCCUGAACAAAACAUGGCUUAUAGAA
rnacentral:RNase_P_RNA from 1 species